GAGGAAUAUUGGUCAAUGGGCGAGAGCCUGAACCAGCCAAGUCGCGUGAAGGAUGAAGGAUCUAUGGUUUGUAAACUUCUUUUAUAUGGGAAUAAAGUGAGGAACGUGUUCCUUUUUGUAUGUACCAUAUGAAUAAGCAUCGGCUAACUCC
rnacentral:rRNA from 1 species